CAGUCGCCGCGGUAAUACGUAGGGUGCGAGCGUUGUCCGGAAUUACUGGGCGUAAAGGGCUCGUAGGUGGUUUGUCGCGUCGUCUGUGAAAUUCCGGGGCUUAACUCCGGGCGUGCAGGCGAUACGGGCAUAACUUGAGUACUGUAGGGGUAACUGGAAUUCCUGGUGUAGCGGUGAAAUGCGCAGAUAUCAGGAGGAACACCGAUGGCGAAGGCAGGUUACUGGGCAGUUACUGACGCUGAGGAGCGAAAGCAUGGGGAGCGAACAGGAUUAGAUACCCCAGUAGUCCCUGUCUCUUAUA
rnacentral:rRNA from 1 species